AUUACAUGAAAGGUCUAUUUCAUCCCAAAACAUUCCCUCAUAAUGUUUUGCAGACAGUACACUCAACAGACAGUAUGUAACUAGACUUAUUGUGGUGAUCAUGUCAUCAUGCAUAAAAAUAUUGAGCCACUAUGUUGUAUGCUUGAAACUGAUAUUGUAUGUCAAUUAUAAUUCAUUAUGAAAGAAUGACAGCUCUACACCCAUAUUGUAAAAUAUGUGAGAAAAUCAUCAAAAGGGAGAAAAAGGAAUGAAGUAAUUAGGAUAGGUUCUGGGUAAAGGAUUAAAAAUGAUGUAUUGGGUUUGUCACAAUGCAGUGAUCAAUAAUUAGUUGCUAAGUAUAUGAAUUGAAGGGAAAAUGAAGGAUUAAAUGCCAGUGACGUCAACCUGAUUGGUGUAAAAGCUAAGAAACUAUAAUAUUGGUUAUCAGCUGUAUGGAAAAAUAAGGUAGAUGUGCAUCUUUUGAGUGCCUUUAUCAAGAGACACAUUUUACUUUCUUGAAAGAAAUGCAAUUUUUUUGAGUGAGUCCUGAAAGGCUAGUUUAACUUGCUUAUUCCUCAGAGUAUAUAUAAAAGGAUUCAGCACUGGUGAAAUGGAAGAAAUAAGCAAUGCCACUCCUUUAUUGAGAUUUACCUCUUCCUUGGCAGAUGGUUUGAUGUAGAUGAAGAUGCAGCUGCCAUAGCUGAUGGAAACGACAAUCAUGUGGGAAGAACAGGUACCGUGGAUGCUAUGCUCACAGAUUAUUAUGAGACACUUUAAUUUCCUGGAAGCAUGAGGCUUCUAAACUUAAAUGGAUCUAUUUGCACUUAUCCAUGAAAAUUAUGAUUCUCUUAAACUUGGAAUUCCAAAGGAGGCUUGUUUUGAAUGCUACAAGGACUGGGAGACACCUGAUGUUACUGUUCUGACAUGGUGUGCAGUUGCUGGAUUGUAGGGUAAGUGUAUGUUUAAAUUUCUAAGAUAUCACCAAGCUCUCUUCCAAAGUGGCUAUAUUAUUUUGGAUUCAUAUAGUAAUGCGUGAGAUUUUCUGUUACACAUCCUGGUCAGUAUUUGGUGUUGUCAGUGUUUCAGAUUUUAACCUUUCUGAUAGGUUUUUGGUUUUUUGUUUUGCCUUGUCUUCUGUAAAGAAAAUAUGUAAGUUUCAGGUGUACAGCAUUAUGUUCAGUAUCUAUAUACACUAUAGAUGGAGGUGUAUAUACCUCCAUCACCGUAGAGUUGGCCCCCCUCACUCAUUUUACCCACCCCCUACCUCAUGCCUCUGGUAACCACAAGUGUAUUCUGUGUAUCUGUGAAUUCAGUAUUUUUCUGUUUUGUUUUGUUUUGAUUUUAGAUUGCGUAUGUAAGAGAGAUCCUAUGGUAAAUUUUCUCUUUCUGAGUUAUUUCACUUAGCAUGAUACUCUCAAAGUCCAUUCAUGGUGUCGCAAAUGUCAGGAUUUCAUUCUUUUUAUGGCUGAGCGGUAUUCCUUUGUGUAUAUAUGCCAUGUCUUUUUUAUCUGUUCAUUCAUUCAUGGACCCUUAGGUUGUUUUCAUAUCUUGGCUAUUGUCAAUAAUGCUGUGAAUAUAGGGUUGCAUUUUAUUUUCAAAUUAGUGUUUUCAUGUACCUGAUGCUAAUUCAAGUUGGUUAUAAGCCCAUAUUGCUACCAAGCAAAGCUGUUGUUUCUUGUGUUGCAAAACAGUAUGUUAAAAUUUUUUUUCUUAAGAUUUUUG